UCAAACUAGGAGAUGGCGACCGGCGCACGGGUGAGUAACACGUAUCCAACCUGCCGAUAACUCGGGGAUAGCCUUUCGAAAGAAAGAUUAAUACCGAUGGUAUAAUAAAACCGCAUGGUUUAAUUAUUAAAGAAUUUCGGUUAUCGAUGGGGAUGCGUUCCAUUAGGCAGUUGGUGAGGUAACGGCUCACCAAACCUUCGAUGGAUAGGGGUUCUGAGAGGAAGGUCCCCCACAUUGGAACUGAGACACGGUCCAA
rnacentral:rRNA from 1 species